CUCACUUUUGAAAAUUUAUUAAUAAGGAUUUAUAUGUAAAUUGGAGGACCUAUAUGUAAAUAUAAAAAUUUCAAGGACUAAACUGUUAAGUUGCAAAAAGAAAAAAAUAAAGAAAACCGAAAAUUUCGGUUUUAUCCCAUCGCCUCCCACGCUCUCUGUUUCGAACAGAGAGAGGAGCGGUGGGGCGUGGGGAGAAGAAGAGAGGAAGAAGAGGGAGAAGAGAAGAAGAAGAAGAAGAAGAGAGGAGGAUAGCUGUGGCAAGGCUGCAGCGAGGAGGUGUGCGGCGUUGGGGAGGAAAAGGGAAGAGGAGAAGAAGAGAAGGAGAAGAAGAGGGAAAAGAGAGGGAAGAGGGAGAGGAGCGAGAGGUGGCAGCAGCUAGGGCU
rnacentral:lncRNA from 1 species